AAAGGAAGGGGUCCAUGUAGCUG
rnacentral:snRNA from 1 species